GAAAUGCGAUAAGUAAUGUGAAUUGCAGAAUUCCGUGAAUCAUCGAAUCUUUGUACGCACAUUGCGCCCUCUGGUAUUCCGGGGGGCAUGCCUGUCCGAGCGUCAUUGCGAACCCCUCAAGCACGGCUUGUGUGAUGGGCCCUCCCGCGUCUUGGUCGUCAAGACGGGCCCGAAAUGCAGUGGCGGCUUCGCGGUUAUCCGAUCAGCCAGAGCGUAUGGGGACUUUCUCUCUGUCACACGCCCGCGGCGCGGACCGACGCCUGUCGACCUUUAUUCAUCUUUUUCUCGGUUGACCUCGGAUCAGGUAGGGAUACCCGCUGAACUUAAGC
rnacentral:misc_RNA from 1 species